AAAUAUUAAGGUACCAUUUAUUUGUAAUAUCAUAUUAAUCUGUUUCAAAACAAUUGUUUAUAAUAAUCUGAAUAUAAAUAACUCAUUUAAAAAAAACAAUCCCCCUAGAAACCAAAACAAUAUCCUGAAAAAAUCAAAACACAAUCAACUCAAAACUUAGCGAAAUAGGACACCAAACGAGUCGAAAUCAAAUCAAAGCUGAGACGAAACCGAAAUCAAACACCGAGAAAAGACAAGAAUCUAAUCAGAACCGUGAAUCCUGAGCUUCCUCCACCACUGCGAAACCGGGCCACCGUGGAAGCCCUGCACCGCCGUUUUUAACGACCACUCGGUCUCCGUACACCGCGAAUUGCACGUACCACCACCGCGCAUAACCCGAUGACCACGCGAGACUCUCCCUUCCGCCGUGAAAAACCAACUGAAGCCGCCACCUCGCCGGAGGAAACUCACCAGGCAGAUCUGUACUUCUCGCUCGUCACCCCCGUUGUACCAAUUGUUACUAUUCUCUUAUAGUUUGAUUUGUGUUUGUGUUUUUGAGUGUUAGUUUUUAAAGAUGAGAAUAAAGAUGGAGAACAAAGGAGGUUGAGAGAGUAUUUUUUGGAAAUAAUUUGAAGAGGGAUUGGUGAGGAAGAAGGGUAUGGAUUGUGUAAAAGAAAUUUGGAGAUGAGGAUUGAUAUUUUUACACUAAAAAUUACACCCUAGGUAAUACAAUAUGGCUAUGUGUUUAUUUAUCUCAAAAUAAAGAAAAAAAAUAAUGAUUAAACAUUUUAAAAAGCAAAAUUUUAUAAUAAUACGGUGUAGGAGUUAUAUUUCAAUGUAAG
rnacentral:lncRNA from 1 species